rnacentral:lncRNA from 1 species
CUGGCUGGGCAGAUGAUAGAACAAAAGGGCAGCAGACAACGUGAGCAGAGGCAGCCAAGUUUCCUGCCCAGGCAAACAGAGAGGAUAACAGGAGAGGGGGAAGGAGAGAAAAGAAAAUGGCAUAAUUUCUUCAUGUGCUAAGUUGCUUCGGUCGU